UAAAUUUAAAGGUUAUGGGUAUGAUAUACAUAAUGUGAUACAUGUUUUGCCUACACUUCAGAGCCUGGUGCCUGUGGAGACCAGAGUAGGUAUUUGAUCCCAUAGAUACAGAGUUUGUGGAGUUACAGGAGGUUGUGAGUGCAAGGACUCAAAUAUUUCGUCCUUUAAAGAGUAGACAGUGAGUACUCUUACUGCUGGGGGCCUCUCUGACUCACAGACCUGAGGCUAGGUCCUGCAGAUGGAUGGCCAGGCUCCUGAAUGCAGUCUUAUAACCGUGUGCCUCAGCAGCCUGGCUGGCCAUGCACUGGCGGGCAAUGGCCGACCUGUUUUUAUCUCGUGGAGAUUCUAACUCAGAACUCCACCCAGCUUGCUAGGUUCCCACUGGCAGUUGCUACCACGCCAGCACCGUGCUUCAAAUCCCCCCACAGUCUUUGUGGUGUACCUCAGGCAGACCCGGCACUUUACCACUGUACCUUUCUUGAACCCAGGCGAGCCACUACGUGAAGGAAAACACAACACAAACUCAGUUCAGAAACAAUGGUAACUCAAUCUCUGAGUGCAACAACUAAAACCUAAUCUUGUGAGCCUUAUUAAAAACUGAUUCCUCUAGUGAAUCCUUGCGGAUCCGCCAUGAAACAGGAAAACUCUAGCAGCUACAUCUUACCCCUCGGCUGUCCCAUUCCAAACGGGACCUAACUCGCCCCCCCUGCUACCUAUUUUUUUCUCUCUCCAACCCAGCAGUCCCGUCUACUCGCCCAGUGAUUGGCUCCCCUAUUCACUAGGUGAUUGGUUCACAAGAACAGCACCCGGCCCAUCCGCAACAUAGGUGCCACCGGCAGUCCUUGUCUCCAUCGGCCGGGGCUGUGCGGUGUUGCUCAGCCUCCAGGUCAGCAGGGAGACUUUCCAUGCCCACAUCAGCAAGACACUCGUUACAUAGUCUGUAGCGCCUGGUUCCUUCCUGCACCACUUGCCCCGUGAGGUCAGUCACGUGGCGUUUGCAUUUCCUGCAGAUGAGUUUGCAUGCCUGGUGAAUCUGCAGGGAUUUAAAGAGUGAUAAAAAUAAAUGUUCAAAACUGGGUCACUUUGCUAUUUUAGGGACCAGUUCAUACACUUAAGACGCUCAAAGCGUUAAACUCAAGUGAACAUCUAAUUAUUCCAAGAGCCAGUGACACGUCAGAUACCGGCGUUCUCUAAAUAAUGGCUGUAAUGGGGUUUUUUGUUUUACUACUAUUAUACACUUAAUAUUGCCACACAUCCAUUAACCCAUUCCUUCCCAGAGUCAAAGUUGCAAACAUGUUCUGCUUUAAAGAUUUUAAAGAAUCAUCAUCAAUGUGUACGAAGGGUGAAGAUGGAUGCUCUGGUGAACAUAUGGAGGUCAGAGAAUAAUGUUUUUGAUUUGUUUGUUUUUUACUUUAUAUUUUAUGUGCAUUGGUGUUCUGCCUGCAUGUUUAUCUAUGUGUGGGUGUCAGAGCCCCUGGAACUGAAGCUACAGGCAGUUUUAAGCUGCCUUGUGGGUGCUGGGAACUGAACCCGAGUGGGUCCUUUGGAAGAGAAGCCAGUGCUCUUACCUGCUGAGCCAUCUCUCUAACACCCUUCAUGUAUUUUUAUCUUACUAGAGGAAAAAAUAUAAUCCUGAUUAUAAGUUUAUCAAUAUUUUUGCAAAGAUUACUGGCUAUUUUUAUUAACCGAAGAUUGGCUAGGAAGCGGUUUGGGUGUGAGAGGGCUUGUGUCCUAAUCCUCAUUUGGUCAGUCUUGAUCAUUGAUUAACCAAGUAUCUCAGAGUAAACUUAAACAUGAUAGAGAUUCAUGGGAAUGCAGGCGGCAGAAGAACCUGUGUAGUCUGGUCUUAUUUUUGUAAAAGAAAUGCAUGGAAGAGUUUGGGGGAGUAUAAACAGACUAUAGGCGUGCCCCUCUACACUCAUCUUAAAAGGCUGUUACUGUCGUUAGUGUUUCCAUGAUGCAAGGGUGACCGUGUAGGUACACAGGUGACAGUGCGGAGAGUGUGGGUACACAGGUGAUGGUGUGGGUGCAGUGUGGGUAAUGAUGCAGGUGCAUGGGUGACGGUGCAGGUGCGUGGGUGCCACGGCAUGCGUGUGGAGAUCAUAGGAGAGUUUUCGGUAUUUUGGUAUUUCAGGAACCGGUUUGCUCCUUCCACCAUGUGGUUCUGAGGUAUGAACUCAGGUCAUCAGGCCUGGCAGCCUUUACCUCAUGAGUCACCACAAUGGCACCUCUUUGGUAUGUACUCUAUUAUAUAUUGGCAUAUACAUAACUAAAUGAUUUAUUUUUAUUUAUGUGCAUGUGUGUGUGCCUGUAUGAGUAUAUGCCACACGUGUGGGUCUCCAUGAAGGUCAGGAAAGGGUAUUGGAUCCCUUUGAGAUGGAAUUAGGGAUGGUUGUAAUCUGCCUGACUCUCUAUGAGAGUAGUGUGUACUCUUUCUUUGGUGGGGGGGGGCUGGGGUUCUCUGUUCUGGAACUUGCUCUGUAGACCAGGCUGGCCUGGAGAUCUGCUUAUCUCUUCUGGGACCAGAGGCCUGUGCCCAAGCCCAGCUAGGAGAAUGUACACUUACUUGAUCACUGAGCCAUCUGCUUUUAUUAUUUAGUGUGUGUGUGCUCGCGUGCAUGCGUGCGUGCGUGCGUGCGUGCGUGCGUGCGUGUGUGUGUUCCUGUGUGGCUGCGUGUUUAUGUGUCAUUGUGUAGACAGAAGUCAGCAGACACCCUCUGGUGUCAGUCCUAACCUUCCGUUUUGUUUGAGGCAGGAUCUCUCCUGUUUGCUGUCGCACUGCAAAUGCCUCUACCUUAGGACAUCGCUUUCGCCUAGCAAAGACUUUUACCAACUGAGUCAUCUCCCUGGCCCCAUUUUGGGUUGUUUUUGAGACAGGAUCUUACAUUCAGGCUGGCCUGGAAGUAGACCAGGCUGCCUUCCUACUAAUGGUGAUCCUCCUGCCUUAGGCUCAUAAGCACUGGGAUUAGCGGUACGAGCUACAUCUAGUCCAUCCCAUCGUUACACCUUAUUAAACUUAAAGGCAUUGAGCUGCCACUUUCCUGAUAGCCCCUGAAUUGGAAUGUCUGUUGGCCUUCACGCUCCUUUCCUUAGGGAGACUAGGGGGAACCUGAUACAGACUAGAAAGGAGGUGCACUGGAGACAGGUCAGACCCAGCCCCUGACAGAGGUCUCAGCAGGUUCCAGCUAUCAAUAAUAGAUGCUGAGUAUACAGAUAAACGGUGAUUCUGAUCUGACACUUAAAACGUUUAUACAGGGGGCUGGUGAGAUGGCUCAAUGGGUAAGAGCACCCGACUGCUCUUCCGAAGGUCUGGAGUUCAAAUCCCAGCAACCACAUGGUGGCUCACAACCAUCCGUAACGAGAUCUGACUCCUUCUUCUGGAGUGUCUGAAGACAGCUACAGUGUACUUACAUAUAAUAAAUAAAUAAAUCUUAAAAACAAAACAAAACAAAAAAAAAUGUUUAUACAGGGUAAUUAUUGUCUCCUAGGAGAGAAAUAUAUCAAACCAUAUGAGAUUCGGUAUGAACUAAUGUGGAAAUAUGAAAAGCUGUAGCACCAAGAGAGUAUCUCCUACUUCAGGGCCUCAAAUGAGGAUAAAAUUAUUGAAAUAUGUAUAUGCAGCCUGUGAUGAGGCAUGACUUUAAUCCUGGAGGCAGAGACAGCUGCACCUCUGUGAGCUCUAGACCAGUGAAUGCAUUUCCAUGUUAUUUAGUGUGUGUCUGUGUGUACAUGUGUGUCCCAGGGCACAUGUGAAGGUCAGAGGACGACUUUCAAGAACUGGUUCUCUCUAUCACGUUGAGUCGAUGGAUCGAACUCAGUUGUCAGGUGUGAUGGAAGUGC
rnacentral:lncRNA from 1 species